AUUAUAAAAAGAUGUUGCCUGGUGACCUGUCAGAAACCCAUCAUACAGAGUCAGCCAAAAUAAUGUUUACACACAUCAGGAAAAGAAAAUCUUGCAUCAAUAUUUCAAUACUAAAUUUAUUCAGACAUCACCAGAUUAAUAAAAGUUAUCUUUGGCCUCUACAAUUACAAGAGGUGCUCAAAGUGGUGGCCACUGGCUUCCAGACAUUUCUGUUGUGUUGUAGACGUCACUUGUUGAUGCUCCAUUCAUGAGGGUAGCGCCAUCUGUUGGGAAAACAUCGUACAACAGGACACAGAGUUAUCGUGAUUUGAUCAAACUUAGAAAGAGGAAUCUAUAUGUAUAGAAGUACUUAUACAAAUGAAAUAUUUAUAAAAGUUUUUCUUUUCCUGAUGCGUGUCUACAUUAUUUUGGCUGACUCUGACUCUGUGAACUUAAUGAGAACAAAACUGUCAUUUAAUUGUUGCUCUGAAAGCUUCUUUAGUGAAAACCGGCUGGUGUUCUGCUUUGAAACAAACUGCUGUUGAGGUCUGUGUUUUUAGGUUUAACCCCACAGUUUCUGAAUGAACUGAUAGUUGUUUUUUUUUUUCCUGAUCAAUGUGGACGUUGUAAUUGAUGGUAUCAUUUACUGAUCAUAUAAUCAGCAUGACAAUAUAACAGUAUAACAUUCUGACCACCUGACUAAUACUGUGUUGGUCCCUUUAUGCUGCUAAAACUCCUCUGACCCAGUGGUUCAUCAGAACCUCUGGGGAUCCUGUGGAUCCUGUGGAUCCUGUGGGUUGCAGGGUGGGUCCUACCUAGACCAGGCUGAUCCUGGACCAUCCCACAGAUGCUCCAUCAGAUCUGGAUGUGGGGAGUGUGGAACCCAGAUGUUCAGAGGGAGAUGAUGCCACAUCUGGUCCAGCUGAUGGAAGGUCUUGAAGUUCUCUGACUGGCCUGGACUGAAGAUGGUCGUCUCACUGGAUUUAAGGUUCAGAUGCUCAGUAACAAACUCCACCAAUGAGCCAACAGGGAAGUUUUAGGUUUAUUAAAUGUUGCUAUGAAGGUUUCGCUGUUUUUCUUUGUGAAUGCAAUGAGCUCCAACUGAAAGUUGAAUUAGAACUUAGAAGUAAAUCUUCCACAUGAAAGCAUUUAGUUGCAUUAAUAACCUCAUAACAUUCUAAUUUUUAUUCCAGUCUUGGUUGGAAAUAGAAUCUCUGCAUUGAUUCAGGUAAAAACUGAACUUCACAGCAUGUUGGAGCAAAACAACCAGAUGAAAACUGUGAUGGUGUUGGAUUAUCAGACCGUAAUGUUGCAGCUCAAAGCAGCUUUUCUAGCUCAGUUCAUUCUGACAUUCAGCUAUGAAUCAACACAGCAGAUGGUGAUCCAUGCUGUGGAAAUCUCACAUCUCCUGAUUUAAUGGAGCUGCUUUGCACUUUUUACACUGUUUAUUCACCAACUCUUUAUUUAAUAAAAGUCCCAUCUAGUUUUUAUGAGGAAUGUGAUGUUUUAAUUUCUCUGUGAAUAACUGCAGUCUAAUGGAACAGCUGGAGUUGUAACAUCUGUCCUGAUAUUGAUCAUGAAGUAUUGAUCAGAAUACUUAUGGUCAGCAGUCAUCCCUGAAGUUUUACAUUAAAAUCUUUACUUGUGUUGUGAACUUUGGUAAGAAGCAGAAACUUUAGCGUUGCCAUGGAUACAUGAGUGUUAAAUUCUGUCCAUGUUUCCAUUUUGGGAAAUUCAGUCCAGCAGAUUAGUUUGUUUUUACUGCCAGCUACAUUCAGACUGAGAUAUUAAGAAUAAAUAAAUGUGCAUAAUGUUGAAAUGAACAGAUUAUGUUUUUAUUUAUUCCUCCACCUGCUCAGGUAAAGUUCCAGAAUGUGGAGGAAUUUAGUCUCACAAUCACAGACAAUAUUAUCUGAAAGUCUGGUGAUUGUUGUUUAUCAGCACAAUACAAAAAGAUUCAUGUUAGACAUAUUCCAGUUAAGACUCUAGAAUAUCAUGAUUUAUGUAAAUUUACCUCAAUAAUAUGAAUGUUCAGGUUAAGAUUGUGCAGUGAUAUUUAUUAUGUAAGUUUAGCUGAUUAAAGUUUAUGACUUUGCACUACAAUAUUAUUUAGUAUAUAAAUUUACAUCAUUAUUAUGAUAUUUAGGGUCAGACUCUACAGUAUUGAGAUUAAGAAAUCAAAUAUUCUAUAAAAUGUAAAUAAACUGAACUCAUUUGGAGAUAUUUAAGUGAGACUCUACAAUAUUAUUUGACACAAAUCUAUCUAAAUCCAAAUUUUAAUCAUUUUUACUCAAAACAUUUACUGGACUGAUUUAAAUAUUAAAACAGAACAUGAUGACAGAAUUAUAGACAAACUUUAACAAAAGCUGCCUGAGAAUUUAGAGGUUUUUAUGUUAGAUUUCUUCAGUAAUUUAAUGAGCGUUAUCAGCAAAAAUCAAGUGUUCAUUUGAUGAACUUCAUUUCCUUAAACAUCCAGAAUUGGAGCUCAUAUCUUUGGCAGCUGUAAAGUUUCUGCUCCUUCAAAGUUCACAACACAAUGAAUCAAUUCCUAAAACACUCUGAAUGCUGGAGAGCGUUUGAUGCUGAAGCAGUGAUCAGUUUUUCUGUUUCUUCUCUGGAGAUGCACAAUGAGGGAUGUCUGCAGAGACUGAGAAAGAGUCUCACCACAUCCUGACAUGAGGAAAAAGACUUUAUUGAAGACUACAAUGAGAAAAACUAUCAGACAGCAGACGGCUGCAUUCAAGGUGAGCUCUGAACAUUUGAUCUGGAACAGGAAUUCAAUCACGGCAGCAUGAGCUUCAUUUCAGUCUGUAGCUGCUGAAUUCAUGGAUGAAUCAUCUGGCACUAGAGAGGAAGACCAUCAAACAUCCACGUCAGCUGAUGGAGGUCCAAGAGUCUCACCCAACAAACAACCUACAGAGUGAAGACCUCCAAUCUGAUUGGACGGCCUCCUAUUCAGCCACAUGUGUGAACAAAUGCCUCUAAGCUGAUUUGUUUUCUAAAAUAAAUCUAGUUUGAGUCCUAA